GACGAACGCUGGCGGCGUGCUUAACACAUGCAAGUCGAACGGAAAGGCCCCUUUGGGGGUACUCGAGUGGCGAACGGGUGAGUAACACGUGAGUAACCUGCCCUUGACUUCGGGAUAACUUCAGUAAACUGGGGCUAAUACCGGAUAGGAAUCCUUGCUGCAUGGUGGGGGUUGGAAAGCUUCGGCGGUUUUGGAUGGACUCGCGGCUUAUCAGCUUGUUGGUGGGGUAGUGGCUUACCAAGGCUUUGACGGGUAGCCGGCCUGAGAGGGCGACCGGCCACAUUGGGACUGAGAUACGGCCCAGACUCCUACGGGAGGCAGCAGUGGGGAAUAGUGCACAAUGGGCGGAAGCCUGAUGCAGCAACGCCGCGUGCGGGAUGACGGCCUUCGGGUUGUAAACCGCUUUCAGCAGGGGCGAAGCUUGCGGUGACGGUACCUGCAGAAGAAGCACCGGCUAACUACGUG
rnacentral:rRNA from 1 species